rnacentral:rRNA from 1 species
UACAGAGGGUGCAAGCGUUUGUUCGGAAUUAUUGGGCGUAAAGCGCGUGUAGGCGGCUUUGCAAGUCGGGGUGUGAAAGCCCUCAGCUCAACUGAGGAAGUGCGCCCGAAACUGCAGAGCUUGAGUACCGGAGAGGGUGGCGGAAUUCCCCAAGUAGAGGUGAAAUUCGGUCAGAUAUGGGGGAGGAACACCGGGUGGCGAAGGCGGCCAGCC